AUACUUACCUGGCAGGGGAGAUAUCAUGAUAAAGAAGGUGGUUUUCCCAGGACAAGGCUUAUCCAUUGCACUCCAGAUGUACUGAUCCCUGCAAUUUCCCCAAAUGUGGGGAACUUUACUGCAUAAUUUGUGGUAGUGGGGGACUGUGUUCAUGUUCUCCCCUA